UACGUAGGGCGCAAGCGUUGUCCGGAAUUAUUGGGCGUAAAGAGCUCGUAGGCGGUCUGUCGCGUCUGCCGUGAAAACCCGAGGCUUAACCUCGGGCUGGCGGUGGAUACGGGCAGACUAGAGGUAGGUAGGGGAGAAUGGAAUUCCCGGUGUAGCGGUGAAAUGCGCAGAUAUCGGGAGGAACACCGGUGGCGAAGGCGGUUCUCUGGACCUUACCUGACGCUGAGGAGCGAAAGCAUGGGGAGCGAACAGG
rnacentral:rRNA from 1 species